UACGUAGGGGGCAAACGUUGCUCGGAAUUACUGGGCGUAAAGGGUGAGUAGGCGGCUGUGCAAGUCAUGGAUGAAAUCCCGCGGCUUAACCGCGGAACGGUCCUUGAAACUGCAUAGCUUGAGGAUAGUUGAAGAGAAUGGAAUUCCCGGUGGAGCGGUGAAAUGCGUAGAUAUCGGGAGGAACACCAGAGGCGUAGGCGAUUCUCUAAGCUACUCCUGACGCUGAAUCACGAAAGCUAGGGGAGCAAACGGG
rnacentral:rRNA from 1 species